rnacentral:rRNA from 1 species
GCGGCAGCGGAAAGUAGCUUGCUACUUUGCCGGCGAGCGGCGGACGGGUGAGUAAUGUCUGGGGAUCUGCCUGAUGGAGGGGGAUACUACUGGAAACGGUAGCUAAUACCGCAUAACGUCGCAAGACCAAAGUGGGGGACCUUCGGGCCUCACACCAUCGGAUGAACCCAGAUGGGAUUAGCUAGUAGGCGGGGUAAAGGCCCACCUAGGCGACGAUCUCUAGCUGGUCUGAGAGGAUGACCAGCCACACUGGAACUGAGACACGGUCCAGACUCCUACGGGAGGCAGCAGUGGGGAAUAUUGCACAAUGGGGGAAACCCUGAUGCAGCCAUGCCGCGUGUAUGAAGAAGGCCUUCGGGUUGUAAAGUACUUUCAGCGGGGAGGAAGGGAGUAAGGUUAAUAACCUUAUUCAUUGACGUUACCCGCAGAAGAAGCACCGGCUAACUCCGUGCCAGCAGCCGCGGUAAUACGGAGGGUGCAAGCGUUAAUCGGAAUGACUGGGCGUAAAGCGCACGCAGGCGGUUUGUUAAGUCAGAUGUGAAAUCCCCGAGCUUAACUUGGGAACUGCAUUUGAAACUGGCAAGCUAGAGUCUUGUAGAGGGGGGUAGAAUUCCAGGUGUAGCGGUGAAAUGCGUAGAGAUCUGGAGGAAUACCGGUGGCGAAGGCGGCCCCCUGGACAAAGACUGACGCUCAGGUGCGAAAGCGUGGGGAGCAAACAGGAUUAAAUACCCUGGUAGUCCA